rnacentral:rRNA from 1 species
AGUCGAGCGGCAGCACGGGUACUUGUACCUGGUGGCGAGCGGCGGACGGGUGAGUAAUGCCUAGGAAUCUGCCUGGUAGUGGGGGAUAACGCUCGGAAACGGACGCUAAUACCGCAUACGUCCUACGGGAGAAAGCAGGGGACCUUCGGGCCUUGCGCUAUCAGAUGAGCCUAGGUCGGAUUAGCUAGUUGGUGAGGUAAUGGCUCACCAAGGCGACGAUCCGUAACUGGUCUGAGAGGAUGAUCAGUCACACUGGAACUGAGACACGGUCCAGACUCCUACGGGAGGCAGCAGUGGGGAAUAUUGGACAAUGGGCGAAAGCCUGAUCCAGCCAUGCCGCGUGUGUGAAGAAGGUCUUCGGAUUGUAAAGCACUUUCAGUUGGGAGGAGGGGCAGUUACCUAAUACGUGAGUGUUUUUGACGUUAACGACAGAAUAAGCACCGGCUAACUCUGUACAGUCAGCCGCG